UACGUAGGGGGCAAGCGUUGUCCGGAUUUAUUGGGCGUAAAGAGCGUGUAGGCGGCUUUACAGGUCCGUUGUGAAAACUCGAGGCUCAACCUCGAGACGCCGGUGGAAACCGUAAAGCUAGAGUCCGGAAGAGGAGAGUGGAAUUCCUGGUGUAGCGGUGAAAUGCGUAGAUAUCGGGAGGAAUACCGGUGGCGAAGGCGGGUCUCUGGGCCGAUAUUGACGCUGAGGAGCGAAAGCGUGGGGAGCGAACAGG
rnacentral:rRNA from 1 species